rnacentral:lncRNA from 1 species
AUGGCGGCUGCCCCUCGGCCCAGGACUGCCACGGACCGGGCGGUGAGCCCGGAGCCAACUCCACAACUUGCCGGCCCGGCUGCCUGGGCCCCCCGAGUUCCCGGGAAGAUUCGGACCCCGCAGGAGGGGCGGAGUAUCCCCGGAAACAAUUCCUCCCCGCCGCCGAGCCCACCCCGCCGUCCGCGUUCGCUCCCGCCUGCGGCCGCGCGGUCCCCGCCGCCCCGACGCCCCCGCGGCCCUGCCCGCCAACGCCUCCAACGCCGCCGCCGCCGGCCGCGCUACCGGGCCGUUUCCGGCGGCGCCCGCGGCCGCUCCCGGAGCCCCCGGCCGCGGCCGCCACUCACCCGAGGCCGCCGCGGCUCCGAGCCUGGGUUCCGUCAGGCUCACUCCACGAAGGCGCCCCGCCGCCCCGUCCUUCCCCGGCGCCCCGGCGAGCUCUUCCCUCAGAGCAGCAGUGCUGCCAAGCACAGUGGCGGCCGCGGGGCCACCGGCAGGCGUGCGCUGGCGGGAGGGAGGGCUUGGGGCCGGGUCGUCCCUCCGCCUCGGCCGCCGCCUCCUCCGCCUCCUCCGCCUCCUCCGCCUCCUCCGCCACCGCCGCGCCGCCGCCGCCGCCGCCGCCGCCUCCUCCCGAGUUCGGGGCUCUGCUGCAAUGUCUGCGAGGCUGACUUUGAGCGCCUCGCUCGCCGCCCGCCCGCAGCCGCGCUCCUCCCUCCGCCGCCGAGUCCGCCGCGGCCCAGUCCCUCCCCUCGCCGCUCCACGCCAUUCAGCUCUUCAGCCAAGUUUCUUAACCCUUUUUUCCCCCUCCCUCCCAUUGUCACCCGGGCAGGAGAAAGCAGCUCGGGUCCCCGCAGCUCGUGGGAGCUGAGGAGCCCCCCCCGCCCCGUUUUGUUGUUUUCCUCCUUGCCCGCCCUCCGGAUGGCCGGGCGGGGGCUGCAGGGCCCAAAGGCGGCGGGAGGACCGCGUCGCCCGGGAGAGGUGCAUCUGGAUGGCAGAAACCAGGUCACAUGAGAAACUCUAGCUUCACCUGAG